AGAGUUUGAUCCUGGCUCAGAACGAACGCUGGCGGCAGGCCUAACACAUGCAAGUCGAGCGGACCGCAAGGUCAGCGGCGGACGGGUUAGUAACGCGUGGGAACGUGCCCAAAGGUACGGAAUAGCCUCGGGAAACUGAGAGUAAUACCGUAUGUGCCCUUCGGGGGAAAGAUUUAUCGCCUUUGGAUCGGCCCGCGUUGGAUUAGGUAGUUGGUGGGGUAAUGGCCUACCAAGCCGACGAUCCAUAGCUGGUUUGAGAGGAUGAUCAGCAACACUGGGACUGAGACACGGCCCAGACUCCUACGGGAGGCAGCAGUGGGGAAUCUUAGACAAUGGGGGAAACCCUGAUCUAGCCAUGCCGCGUGGACGAUGAAGGCCUUAGGGUUGUAAAGUCCUUUCAGCUGGGAAGAUAAUGACGGUACCAGCAGAAGAAGCCCCGGCUAACUCCGUGCCAGCAGCCGCGGUAAUACGGAGGGGGCUAGCGUUGUUCGGAAUUACUGGGCGUAAAGCGCGCGUAGGCGGACUUUUAAGUCGGGGGUGAAAUCCCGGGGCUCAACCCCGGAACUGCCUUCGAUACUGGGAGUCUGGAGUUCGAGAGAGGUGAGUGGAAUUCCGAGUGUAGAGGUGAAAUUCGUAGAUAUUCGGAGGAA
rnacentral:rRNA from 1 species